GGAACCUGCUGCUGGAUCAUU
rnacentral:rRNA from 2 species